rnacentral:rRNA from 1 species
AUACGUAGGGAGCUAGCGUUACCCGGAAUUACUGGGCGUAAAGGGCGCGUAGGCGGCUUGGUAAGUCUCUUGUGAAAGCUCCCGGCCUAACUGGGAGAGGUCAAGGGAUACUGCCAGGCUCGAGGGCAGUAGAGGAAGGCGGAAUUCCCGGUGUAGCGGCGAAAUGCGUAGAUAUCGGGAGGAACACCAGUGGCGAAAGCGGCCUUCUGGGCUGUGCCUGACGCUGAGGCGCGAGAGCGUGGGGAGCAAACUGGAUUAGAUACCCCGGUAGUCC